GAUGUUGAAGAUGGUGUCUGAUAGAAAAUGAAAGAAAGAAGAAAAAGCAAAGAAUGAUGAAAGCAUAAAAGAGAUUUUAUAUAUGAAGUGAGAGUACAAAAGCAUCAUAGACAUUCUGGUUACAGAUUCAUGGAAAGAGAGAGAGAAGAUGAUUAUUGAUGGAGGCACUACAAAGAUGAAAGUCUUUUAUUUAGGAGAUAGAUAAUAUGCUACGUUGCAUGGUUUAGAAGUGACCAUUUUCUUCAACGGGUGGGUGCUUACCAUAAGGGGGCUUAUGGUAUGGCUUUGGUUUGGGUUUAGGCUCGUAAAUUGGUGGUCUUGGCUUGUGGAUGGGUGGCUUAUACUUACGGGGUGGUUUGUAGAAGCUGUCAGACUCAGAUUCAGCAGCAAGCCCUUGAGGGGUCAGAAUCAGAGCCAAAAGGAACAACACAACCAAAGUUAAGAGAGAAUUAGCCAUCUUCAUUCUGUUAUUGCUUCUGCAUCUUACUCACUCAUUCAUCUCCUUUUAUAGUCAGCCUUCACGCACGUCUCAAUCCAAUUCAUUUAUCGUUCCCUCUGUCACUGUAUCAAAUGUCAAACAUUUGGUGUGCAUUUUUCUAUGCCCACUGGUCCCAUUUUGUAUCUCUCCCACUUAAUAAUACCCUCUGUGUUUAUCUCUCCCACUUACUUUUUCUUUAUUAUCAUACCAUUCUCCAAACUUUAUCGUUAAUUCUCAUCUGAAUUCGACCACUGUCGGAUACAACAAAACAAAAACACUUUCUACUACUCAUCUAGUAUACUCUCUAAUAAUUACAGAACCAUCUCGGAUCCGGUUCCCGGAUUGUUGCCGACAACACUAUUCGGCCCUAUGACACAUUUAAUUUAUUGAAUUCGUGACAAAAAUUAUCUCUGUAAUAAAAUUUAAUAUAAAUUUUUUAAUAACGUGUAUAAAUAAAUAGGAAAUGUUUUUUAAUAAUUUUUUUACAAUAUUAUUUGUGAUUGAUUUAUUUUAAAUAUUUUUUUUUAAAAUAAAUUUAUAUAGAUCAAUAAAACAAUAAAAUGUGACUGUUGUCAAAAAAAUUAUUAUGGAAAAGUUGUUAAUAGUCUAAAUAAAUAAUACAAAUGACAUAUUAUUAUUUGUUUGGACCAAUUUUUGUGAUUGUGACUUUUGUUUUAAUAGUAAAAUUAUUUUUUUGGUUUAUUCUUAAUUGAUCAAUCCAUUUUAUUUUGAAUAGGAAUAAUAGUUAACCUUCGUGAUUGUUUACAACACAUUUUAUUACAUACUGAUACAGUUGUUAUCAUGUGAUAUUGAUUCACACGGAUGAAUAUUUAUAUGAAGACGAUUAUUUGAUAAUGUAUUUUUAUUCUAAUUAUUUUAAUUUAAUUAUUUUUUAUUUUUCUGAAGUUCUAACUCAUAUCAUUAUAACUUUUUCUUAUUUUAUUAUCUUUGUCCUGUAUUCAAUUAAUUAAAUAAAAACAAAAAACAAAUAUCAUUAAACAUAAUAAAAUAAAAAUAAAUAAAAAAUCACUUUACUUAAAACAAAAUUAAAACUAUUUGGGUCCAAAAAAAAUAUUUUGAAUUGAAAUUUUCAUAAACAUGAUGACUUCACUUAAAAAAAAUGUUGAAAUUGUAGCAUUUCAUAAGACUUCAACUAUAAGAAAACCUUCAUAAGUAUAAUAACUUCACUUUAAGAAACUAAAAAAAAGAAUAGAAGUCGUUAUAGUCGUACCAUCUAAUAUGACUUUAACCCAUAUGUACGACUUAUCUUAUUGUGUAAAAUUUUAAAAAUCUAACUUCUUUACAUAAAUACAAAAGUUGAUUAAUUCCUUUUGGUUAAUUAACCUGUUUACAAAUACUUCACUACAAUAUUGGUAUGUUGAUAUCAAAUUCAGUCAUGGAAUAGUUUAAAUAGAGACGUAGUUUAAAUAGUUUUUUUUUCUACUAUAAUUUAUCCAUAUAUUGUAUAAAGACAUGACAAUUAUUGAGAAAAUGAAAAAGUUCAUUGUCUAAGAAAGAUAAAGAAAAUGAGCUAUAUGAUUAAGAUAUUAUAAAGGAUGGAUAAUAUUUUAUGUAAUAUUUAUUACUACACAAAAAAAAAAAAACAUUAGAAUUAAUGAAUGGCUAUAGUUGAAAGAAAUAAAAGAAAGUAGUAAUAGUAGUGGAGGAAGAAAAAGAACAUAAAAAUCCAUUAUAAUGGCUAGUUUUAUUAGUGUCUCCUGUAUAAGAAAUGAAAAAGUGGAUCUAAAACAAGAGAGAUAAGACACAACACUUUGAUAAAGCGACAAGAAGCCUAUCUUGUUUAAAUCUCAUUUUGUUCUCCAAACAUCUUAUUUGUU
rnacentral:lncRNA from 1 species